UGCCUACGGGACGCAGCAGUAGGGAAUUCUCGUCAAUGGGCGCAAGCCUGAACGAGCGAUGCCGCGUGAGUGAAGAAGGCCUUCGGGUCGUAAAGCUCUGUUGCGGGGGAAAAAAGGCAGCAUCAGGAAAUGGGUGCUGACUGAUGGUGCCCCGCCAGAAAGUCACGGCUAACUACGUGCCAGCAGCCGCGGGAAUACGGAGGUGGCGAGCGUUAUCCGGAAUGAUUGGGCGUAAAGGGGGCGCAGGCGGGCCUGCAAG
rnacentral:rRNA from 1 species